CAGCAGCCGCGGGAAUACGUAGGGUGCGAGCGUUAAUCGGAAUUACUGGGCGUAAAGCGUGCGCAGGCGGUUGUGUAAGACAGGUGUGAAAUCCCCGGGCUUAACCUGGGAACUGCGCUUGUGACUGCACAGCUAGAGUAUGGCAGAGGGGGGUGGAAUUCCACGCGUAGCAGUGAAAUGCGUAGAGAUGUGGAGGAACACCGAUGGCGAAGGCAGCCCCCUGGGCCAAUACUGACGCUCAUGCACGAAAGCGUGGGGAGCAAACAGGAUUAGAUACCCGAGUAGUCCCUGUCUCUUAUAC
rnacentral:rRNA from 1 species